AUGACUUCUCCAUGGGAAAAUGGUGAGAAGUCCAAAGCCUGUUUCUCUAGGGCUCUCCAAAAGAAUACCCAGAAGGCUAAUCCAUCCCGCGCAAUGCCUAACAGUGGCGUUGAUUCUCUACAAAAGAAUACUACCAAGUUAAGACCUUCUUCCUUUAUGUCGAAUAAUGGUAAUACCUCAAGGCCAAACAUUAGCAUGGGUUCUCCCGUGAAGAAUGUGGAGCCUAACAUUGAAUCUCCUCGGUCAGAGAAUAAGAUGCAUGUAUCCUCUUACUCAAGGCCCAACGAUGAGAUGUUGGCUCCUCGGUCGAAUUGUGGGUUUGGUCCUUUGACGAGGACCAUAGAGAAGUCUAAGCCCUCUUCAACUAGGGAUCAAUAUUCCUUAGUGUUGAAGGAUGAUUCAAAUUCCAUAUUUGGUAUUUCAAAGAAAUCAUACCCCUCUUCGAUGCUUCGCAACUCAUGGAAUGAAGACCGUCGGAUGGCGAUGGAAGCUUCAAAUUCCAACUUAGCUUUGAAGGGUAAAAAAGUCAUGGAAGAUAUCCAGCCCAACUUGGAGAUCAAUUGUGUUUCUUUACCUGGUAAGAACCUUCCGAGUCACCAAAUGGCUGAGGCAUCAUGCAUGGUCGACUCAAUUGACCGGUGCAUUCAACUUGAUAGUAGAAAGUGCAAUACUAGCCUUUCAAAGGAUGGAAGAACCGAUGUGUACAAAUCUAAGAGUAAGAGGAUGAAGUCGUUAUUGGAAGAGAAGUUUGAGGUACGUGGGGUUGCUAGAAUAACAAAAUCAAUGGGAAUCUCCACUAAGCUUAACAAUAAGAACUCUAGCCUCGGGGAGGAAGAAAGAAACGUUGAUGAAAAGUUUAAUAAGAUGAAGAGGACUGAUAAUUGUAGUCAAACAAACAAAAGGAGAAGAUAUGUAGUAUAUGACGAUGAAGUGGAUGAUGAUGGUGAUCAGAAUCUCACUGGUGCUAAAAGUGCUGCUGCUAGAUUGACAACACAAAAGGAUUGUCAUCUAGAAGUCUCUAAUCUGUUUGGUUUAGAAUCUUCGAAGCCAUAUCAGUAUUGUUCCCUGCCCAUUGAUGAACCUAUUUGGAGUGGAAUCAUUAAGAUAGGUAGUGGAAAAUUUGUUUCACGGGCUGCACAUUUGUCAACCAAAUACUAUGAGAAGGUGUGGAAAUUGUCACGAUCACUUGAGCCAGUGGUUGAAGUGACAAAGCUUUCUAGACUGGAGGCUUGGCCUAAGAGCUUUGAGGCAUCAAGGCCCACUAAUGACAACAUUGCGUUGUAUUUAUUGCCCACCAAGAUGAGGCAAGAUGUAGACCUGGAACAACUUGUUAAAGAAGUCAUGGAGAAUGAUAUGGUCCUACAAGCUAUUGUUGGUGAAGCUGAGAUGCUGAUAUUCCCAUCUGUUCUACUGCCUGAGCAACACCAAACUUUCCAAGGAAAACCCUACCUGUGGGCGGUAGUUAAGCACAUAAAGGACAAGGUUCACAUAGUGGAAGAGGAACAACAUGGGAAAGGACAUUGUGCAUAG
rnacentral:rRNA from 1 species